rnacentral:rRNA from 1 species
UACAGAGGAGCCAAGCGUUGUCCGGAUUGACUGGGCGUAAAGCGCACGCAGGCGGACGCGCGCGUGGGGUGUGAAAUCUGGCCGCUUAACGGCCAGGCGCCAUCCCAUACGGCGCGUCUGGAGUGAUGCAGAGGUCGGUGGAAUUGCCGGUGUAGUGGUGAAAUGCGUAGAGAUCGGCAGGAACACCCAGGUGGAAACCAGCCGACUGGGCAUCUACUGACGCUGAGGUGCGAGAGCGUGGGGAGCGAACCGG